AUUGAACGCUGGCGGCAUGCCUUACACAUGCAAGUCGAACGGUAACGCGGGGCAACCUGGCGACGAGUGGCGAACGGGUGAGUAAUGUAUCGGAACGUGCCCAGUUGUGGGGGAUAACUGCUCGAAAGAGCAGCUAAUACCGCAUACGACCUGAGGGUGAAAGCGGGGGAUCGCAAGACCCCGCGCAAUUGGAGCGGCCGAUAUCAGAUUAGGUAGUUGGUGGGGUAAAGGCUCACCAAGCCGACGAGCUGUAGCUGGUCUGAGAGGACGACCAGCCACACUGGGACUGAGAACCGGCCCAGACUCCUACGGGAGGCAGCAGUGGGGAAUUUUGGACAAUGGACGCAAGUCUGAUCCAGCCAUGCCGCGUGCGGGAAGAAGGCCUUCGGGUUGUAAACUGCUUUUGUCAGGGAAGAAACGCUCUGGGUUAAUACCUCGGGGUAAUGACGGUACCUGAAGAAUAAGCACCGGCUAACUACGUGCCAGCAGCCGCCGUAA
rnacentral:rRNA from 1 species